CGCAGCUGUGCUGGCCCCUAUCGCCGUGGUAACGCUCAUCAUCAUCAUCAUCACCGCCGUGCUCUGCCGGAAGAACAAGAGCGACUUUAAAGCCGACGCCAUGGGCAACCUCAACCCCCGUGUCAAGACGUCAUAUCGGAGGGAUGUUACAGGAUAUUACCACCAGCCUGUCCAGGGAUUUGACUAUGCCAAGCAGCACUUGGGCCGGGUGCAGGGUGGGGAGGGAGAGACCCUCCCCGUGACCCAGG